UGUAAGAAACUAUGGACUAGGGUAUUGUUUAUUAAGAUUUAUGUUAAGCCCAAUGUAAAGAUUAGGCAACAAAAGAUAAGAUAACCGCCAGAUGUCCAGGAACCGACAGAAACAGGACAGACAACCCCAUAUAAGGACAUAUGAGUGAAGGGUCAACACCUCCACUACUUCAUGAACACGAAAGUAAAAAAAAGUAUAAAAAGGGACUGUUUGAACUGCUCAGUACGGCAGUUGGCGAAGCGCAGACUCCCCUGCCGUCCAGCGCUGUCUUUGCUCAUAUUCUACUUGCUGUAAUUAAUAAAAAUUUUAAUUGGAUUAUGAUCUAUUGUGGUCUCAAUUUAUAACAAUUCUGGUGCCGUGACUCGGAUAAGGAACGGUGGGCUUUGGUCCUCCGGGGAGGCGCCCCGCGACAUUUCGCGGCCCCGCGACCAACAGCUUACUCCAACCUUACCGACGAACCUAAAUUCUAGAACAAUGAGCAAAGGAGAAACCGGUAAAAUCCCAUAAAAUUCUGUGCACGGGAGUCCGGACGAAGACGCAGGACGCUUAAAGCUGCAAAGUGGGAAGCCUAUGUAAACAGGCAGAAAGCCCAAAGCAGCUGUUCUCCUGAAGAAUUCCCUUGCUGCCGAGAAGAUGGUACACCUCGUGGCUCGAAGCAACCGAGUCGACGGGCAAGGCAGAGGAGGAACAUACUGCGGAGAAAAGAACCAGAACAAUGGGAUGCAAAAGCAGCAAUGGCCGAACUU